CAGCGCCACAAGUGGGAACCGAUUUUAUUGGGCCUAAAGCGCCCGUAGCUGGUUUAGCAAAUCUUUUGUGAAAUCAUCAGGCUCAACCUGAUGGCGUGCAGAAGACACUACUAAACUCGGAACCGGGAGGAGUCAGAGGAAUUCUGGGGGGAGCGGUAAAAUGUUAUAAUCCUCAGAGGACCACCAGUGGCGAAGGCGUCUGACUAGAACGGAUUCGACAGUGAGGGACGAAAGCCAGGGGAGCGAACCGGAUUAGAUACCCGUGUAGUCC
rnacentral:rRNA from 1 species